AAAAAACUUGAGAGGGAGCUCCAAGAAGAUGACACAGCUCAAAAUAAAAAUUAGCAAUCAGUACAACCAAGUCAUCGUUAUAAGGCACCGGCCUCUUUUGCCCACCCCCCCAGCACCAGGUGUGGCCACUAGCCUAUAUGAAGGCCCAAAAUUGUGUGUUCCUUUCUGCUCUGACAAUGGCAUGCCCAUUCUUGCGAGAUGUGGUGGAUGAAGAAGCACUUGUGCUGAGGAGAGCCUUCAGGCGAGAAAGGGUCUUCAGGGACCGGUUGGACCCACUGGCCUUCCCUGAUGACCAUCUAUAUGAAAGAACAGGUUUUCUGCA